rnacentral:ribozyme from 1 species
ACCGUCCACAACAGCAGCUUCCACGAGAGCGGACGGUGGGCAACGGGUUUUCCGGCUAAUGCUGAA